UCGAGAAUCUUCGGCAAUGGGCGAAAGCCCGACCGAGCGACGCCGCGUGGAGGACGAAGGCCUUCGGGUUGUAAACUCCUGUCGCGGGGGAACAAGGGCCGGUGCAGAGCCGGCCUUGAGUGACCCCGGGAGGAAGCACGGGCUAAGUUCGUGCCAGCAGCCGCGGUAAGACGAACCGUGCGAACGUUAUUCGGAAUCACUGGGCUUAAAGCGCGUGUAGGCGGGCCGGCACGUCCGCCGCUGAAAGCCCCCGGCUCAACCGGGGAAGCGGCGCGGAUACGACCGGCCUGGAGGGGGGUAGGGGGGCCUGGAACUGCCGGUGGAGCGGUGAAAUGCGUUGAGAUCGGCAGGAACGCCCGCGGCGAAAGCGAGGCCCUGGACCCUUACUGACGCUGAGACGCGAAAGCCAGGGGAGCGAACGG
rnacentral:rRNA from 1 species